AGUUUGAAUUUUUUUGCUACGUUAUUUCUUCCACUUGAACGGAACGAAGAAAGAAUUUCUUGUGCCUUAGUUGAUAUUUGCUUGUUGAAGUGUUCUAAGUGUCUAUCUUGAAUAAAUUCGUAAAAUGAUGCGAGGAUCUAUGUCACGAAACAUCGGUGUGAUGGAGUUUUACAGGGCAAAGAGAUGUCUAAAUCGUUUGAAAAACGAACUUUCUAUGAAGGCAGGGAUUUGAAUAAAUUUUGAAGUUACUCUCGUCAGAUUUAAUCCGAAAAGGUUUAAUAGAGUUAGUAUUUCUGAUAUUAAUACUACAAGGUUCUUCCAAAAGUCGGGCUUAAGAGUUUACGGUGAUUCCAUAAAGCAACCUUUUUUAAUUUCGAGGGGUGCGAGAUAUUAUACUGGACGGAAUAUCGACGUGUCUUCCGAGAAAUUCAUCGUAGUGAGAGUGGAAUAUAUAAUUUUAAAUAACUGUUUGAUGAUUUUAUUAUUCAUUUUCCAACCGGUUCUAUCUUCCAUAUCAAUGGAGUGCAUGGAAGGUGCUCUUUUUAUAUUGAUUAAUAUCUCCGUUUUCGAAUUUCAAUCGGAAGAGUUGGAAUUUGAAUAUAAAAAAAUAAAAAAUUAUUAUUUAAUUUAUGUGUAUGGCAA